GUGAGCCACCAAGCCCAGCCUCCCCACAGAUUUUUAAAAGGGCCCUGGGUAACACAGACUGGGAUCUGCUAAGUCACUAAAUGACCCUUUUAAAUAAAGAAGGAAGUCAUAAACCUCCACUUAAAAGGAGUGGGGGAUGGCAACAGAAACACAGCCAGUCAGAAGCCGGAAGGGUCUCACUCAACUCAUCCCCAAGCAGUCCUCGGGGAGCACCACGGUGAGCUGUGAGGAGCCAGCCCAGCACGGCACACACAACGAACAGAGAAGGAGCUUCUACUGCUUAACCAGAUGUAGAAACUGACGCACGCACAGAGAGGUCACGUGUGAUAUGGUUUGGACGUUGUCCCCUCCAAAUCUCAUGCUGAAAUGUGAUCCCUGAUGUUGGA
rnacentral:lncRNA from 1 species